rnacentral:rRNA from 1 species
CCUACGGGGGGCAGCAGUGGGGAAUAUUGGACAAUGGGGGCAACCCUGAUCCAGCCAUGCCGCGUGUGUGAAGAAGGCCCUCGGGUUGUAAAGCACUUUCAGUGAGGAAGAACGCCUGGUGGUUAAUACCCAUCAGGAAAGACAUCACUCACAGAAGAAGCACCGGCUAACUCCGUGCCAGCAGCCGCGGUAAUACGGAGGGUGCGAGCGUUAAUCGGAAUUACUGUGCGUAAAGCGCGCGUAGGUGGCUUGAUAAGCCGGUUGUGAAAGCCCCGGGCUCAACCUGGGAACGGCAUCCGGAACUGUCAAGCUAGAGUGCAGGAGAGGAGGGUAGAAUUCCCGGUGUAGCGGUGAAAUGCGUAGCGAUCGGGAGGAAUACCAGUGGCGAAGGCGGCCUUCUGGACUGACACUGACACUGAGGUGCGAAAGCGUGGGUAGCAAACAGGAUUAGAUACCCUUGUAGUC